GACGAACGCUGGCGGCGUGCUUAACACAUGCAAGUCGAACGGAAAGGCCCUGCUUUUGUGGGGUGCUCGAGUGGCGAACGGGUGAGUAACACGUGAGUAACCUGCCCUUGACUUUGGGAUAACUUCAGGGAACUGGGGCUAAUACCGGAUAGGAGCUCCUGCCGCAUGGUGGGGGUUGGAAAGUUUCGGCGGUUGGGGAUGGACUCGCGGCUUAUCAGCUUGUUGGUGGGGUAGUGGCUUACCAAGGCUUUGACGGGUAGCCGGCCUGAGAGGGUGACCGGCCACAUUGGGACUGAGAUACGGCCCAGACUCCUACGGGAGGCAGCAGUGGGGAAUAUUGCACAAUGGGCGGAAGCCUGAUGCAGCAACGCCGCGUGCGGGAUGACGGCCUUCGGGUUGUAAACCGCUUUCGCCUGUGACGAAGCGUGAGUGACGGUAAUGGGUAAAGAAGCACCGGCUAACUACGUGCCAGCAGCCGCGGUGAUACGUAGGGUGCGAGCGUUGUCCGGAUUUAUUGGGCGUAAAGGGCUCGUAGGUGGUUGAUCGCGUCGGAAGUGUAAUCUUGGGGCUUAACCCUGAGCGUGCUUUCGAUACGGGUUGACUUGAGGAAGGUAGGGGAGAAUGGAAUUCCUGGUGGAGCGGUGGAAUGCGCAGAUAUCAGGAGGAACACCAGUGGCGAAGGCGGUUCUCUGGGCCUUUCCUGACGCUGAGGAGCGAAAGCGUGGGGAGCGAACAGGCUUAGAUACCCUGGUAGUCCACGCUGUAAACGGUGGGUACUAGGUGUGGGGUCCAUUCCACGGGUUCCGUGCCGUAGCUAACGCUUUAAGUACCCCGCCUGGGGAGUACGGCCGCAAGGCUAAAACUCAAAGGAAUUGACGGGGCCCCGCACAAGCGGCGGAGCAUGCGGAUUAAUUCGAUGCAACGCGUAGAACCUUACCUGGGUUUGACAUGGAUCGGGAGUGCUCAGAGAUGGGUGUGCCUCUUUUGGGGUCGGUUCACAGGUGGUGCAUGGCUGUCGUCAGCUCGUGUCGUGAGAUGUUGGGUUAAGUCCCGCAACGAGCGCAACCCUUGUUCACUGUUGCCAGCACGUUAUGGUGGGGACUCAGUGGAGACCGCCGGGGUCAACUCGGAGGAAGGUGGGGAUGACGUCAAGUCAUCAUGCCCCUUAUGUCCAGGGCUUCACGCAUGCUACAAUGGCUGGUACAGAGAGUGGCGAGCCUGUGAGGGUGAGCGAAUCUCGGAAAGCCGGUCUCAGUUCGGAUUGGGGUCUGCAACUCGACCUCAUGAAGUCGGAGUCGCUAGUAAUCGCAGAUCAGCAACGCUGCGGUGAAUACGUUCCCGGGGCU
rnacentral:rRNA from 1 species